rnacentral:rRNA from 1 species
UAUGUGAUCGUCUCUCGCAUAUCAAUAAGCGGAGGAAAAGAAACUAACAAGGAUUCCCCUAGUAACGGCGAGUGAGGCGGGAAGAGCUCGAAUUUGAAAUCUUAAAGGGUUUCCCUUUACGAAUUGUAGUUUAAAGAAGUGUUUUCUGUUGAGGUUUUGGUAAAAGUUCUUUGGAAUAGGACAUCAUAGAGGGUGAGAAUCCCGUAUUUGACCUUUACUUUCAACUUUGUGAUAGCACUUUCAAAGAGUCGGAUUGUUUGGGAAUGCAGUCCAAAAUGGGUGGUAAAUUUCAUCUAAAGCUAAAUAUUGGCGAGAGACCGAUAGCGAACAAGUACCGUGAGGGAAAGAUGAAAAGAACUUUGAAAAGAGAGUUAAACAGUACGUGAAAUUGUCAAAAGGGAAGCGUUUGACACCAGUGUUGUUUUUCUGAAAAUCAAUUAAAGAACUGUUUAUGCUAAGUUGUUUAGACUUUAUCAGCUAUCUGUUUAGUUUUGAGCUUUUCUUUAAUGCACUUUUCAGUUAACAAGUCAACAUCAAUUUCUUUUGCUGUAAAAAAGCUUGAGGAAGGUGGCUUGAGAUUCGUCUUAAGUGUUUAUAGCCUCUUGCCUAUGCAGUCGGAGAGAUUGAGGGUCUGCAGCGUAGAUCCUUCGGGGCUAAAUGCAUUUGUGCUAAGUUAUAACAUUUUAUAGACAACUUGUUGACUAUGAUUUGUCUUGUAGCUUACUCGCUUAUGUUAUUUUACCUACGCUUAGGAUGUUGAGUAGCGACAUACGCAC